AGAGUUGAUCUUGGCUCAGGAUGAACGCUGGCGGCGUGCCUAACACAUGCAAGUCGAGCGUGAACCCUUAGAAUGAAACUUCGGUCGAAUGAAGAGGGGGAAAGCGGCGGACGGGUGAGUAACGCGUAGGCAACCUGCCCCGUACAGAGGGAUAGCCUCGGGAAACCGGGAUUAAAACCUCAUAAUACCAUGGUAUCACAUGAUGCAAUGGUCAAAGAUUUAUCGGUAUGGGAUGGGCCUGCGUCUGAUUAGCUGGUUGGUGGGGUAACGGCCUACCAAGGCAACGAUCAGUAGCCGACCUGAGAGGGUAAUCGGCCACAUUGGAACUGAGACACGGUCCAAACUCCUACGGGAGGCAGCAGUGGGGAAUAUUGCACAAUGGGCGAAAGCCUGAAUGCAGCAACGCCGCGUGAGCGAAGAAGGCCUUUGGGUCGUAAAGCUCUGUCGGGAAGGAAGAUAAUGACGGUACUUCCCGAGGAAGCCCCGGCUAACUACGUGCCAGCAGCAGC
rnacentral:rRNA from 1 species